GUUGCCCUCAAUGAGCUGGAUUUCCAGAAUCCAGUUUUCCAGUUGAAGUUGUUGACUGAAGUUGAGUACGAUACUACAGGGACAGAGUGUGAAAUAAUGCCAAGGAUUGUGAAUGUUGAGCAAUAAUGAAGAUGGAGUUUUGCUGUCAUAUGGAACUUCCAUAAGAGACCAAGGCACAAAGGAUAGGGACACUUAGUCAUUUCACAUUCAGCCCGCUAUUCAGAAGGAAACUGAAAUGUUCCAGUUACCGAUUUAAAGUGCGAGGGAUGUAGUACACAUUUUCUUCAGGAAAUGAAGAGAAAACAACCCUGAAGAGGAAAAAGAGGAAGAAAACUACCAAACAUUAUCCAGUUCAAAUUAAUGAUACACAUUUACUUGAGGUGAAGGAAAAACCUGUAAAAUGAAAAAAAAACAAGAGGAAUGGAGGAAGAAAACCUAUAUUAUCCAGUUAAUAAAAAAGGGUUGUGAAUACCUGUCAAGUUGAAGCUUUGCUAUCUUCAAGAGACAUUGAUGCAAAACCUCGGGCACUUUUAGGCCUCUCAUAUUCAGCCCAACAUUCAGAAGACGACCGAAAUUAUAUCCAGUUUGAAAUGACGAGACACUUUCACUUCAGGAAAGGAGGAGGAAACCCUUGAGGAUGAAUGACUCAAUACGACUACUUUCAAGAGAAAUACCUGGUUUAGAAACUUCAAGGAAAGAAGAAGAAAAACAUUGCUGAGGAAUGAAGGAAGUUGACAACUUUGAAGAAAAAACUAAGCAAAAUACUUUAGGGUACUUUGGGGUGAAGAAACUUCACACUUUGAAGAAAAAACUCAGCAAAAUACUUUGGGGUACUUUGGGGUAAAGAAACUUCACCCAAGAAGAAGAAAAACCACUUACUUCAGGAAAGGAAAAUUAAAAACAACCAAGAGGAAUUUAAGAGACUAUAGCUUUGAAAUAAAAUAGUGAAGCAAAAUAAUUCUGGGUUAUUUGUCAAGAGUCUGUGAAGAACAGGAAAAUAUUUUCAACAAAGAUAAUUCAGGAAGUAAUAGAAUAUGCUUUGUAGUUUUAAGUUCUUAGAAAUUUUUUUUUUUCUAUUUUCUACAGAUACAGAUUUAUACUGGUGCUAGGAACGGGUAUACUGAUUGAUGCAUCUUUCUGUACAAAUUAAACCUUGACUACAUUUAAGCCCUAUAAUUUUCCAACAAAUACCUGAGAUACAGUGAAAUGUCAUAUUCAGUGAAAGACUUACCAUCAAACCCUGACAACAGAGAAAAUAUAACUAUUUGGUUGCGGCCACCACAAACAUUCAUGUCCAUCUUCUUGCUAGUUUUGAGGUAUGCCAAGCCUCAAAACUAUCCACAGUAUGGAAAUAUAUGUUUGCGGUGAGCGCAACCAAAUAGCAAUUGCAAAGUUUCCUCUGUUGUCAGGUUUUUAUGGUACGUUUUUCCAUAUUUUCUUGUCUUCCACUGAAUGUCUUUUCACUGUACCUCGGGUAUUCAUUGUAAGUUAUAGGGCUUAGAUAUGAACGUUAUUUCUUCUUGGUGAUCAAAUGCACCUCGGAUAUCGUUCUUGGGGACUUCAGUAAGCGCAGAGUUUCAUUCUUGGUAAGAAGGAUAUAAACACUUGCCUUCGAUGUAGUAGAUUCACGUCCUGAUGGGUACUACUCUGAAAGUAUAAAAUCUCAUUUUCAAUCUCAUUUGUCAAGUUUUUGUAAUCUAGGAGAUUUAUAAAUAACGACUAUACUGAAUCAACAUAUAAAAG